rnacentral:rRNA from 1 species
UACGGAGGGUGCGAGCGUUGUCCGGAAUCACUGGGCGUAAAGGGCGCGUAGGCGGCCUGAUAAGUAGGGGGUGAAAUCCUGCGGCUUAACCGCAGGGCUGCCUUCUAAACUGUCAGGCUGGAGCACAGUAGAGGCAGGUGGAAUUCCCGGUGUAGCGGUGGAAUGCGUAGAUACCAGGAGGAACACCAAUGGCGAAGGCAGGUUCUUGGACAGAAGGUGACGCUGAGGCGCGAAAGUGUGGGGAGCGAACCGG